GUUAAGCGUUACAGCCAGGUUACAGCCACACUCAUUACAUAUGAACUAGGCCUGAAAAAGAUGAAGUCAGGCGAACGCCUGAUGGGAGCUCGCAGCGAUACUGACGUGAAAAUCGUUGGUCAAACAUGGGAAUAUGGUUGAACGAUUCGCUAAACUGUCUAGCAGCUGCUUUUUUUCCUAAGUUUCUCUCAGCAUAGCUGGAGUUCAUUUAGCUUUAUCAGGUAAAGCAAAUGAUUGGAGGCCUGCAGGGCGCGUUGCCGUCGACCCCUCAAACUGUAGGUGGGUGAGAUCCAGCUGUUACUUUAUUGAACUGCUGGGGUUAAUAUGGACUCCAAGUCAACUUUUUUUGUUAAGCAGAACUGGGGAUGAGGGAUGCUCCUAACACGUGGAUAAUGUGCCUAAAUACUCGCUCACCAGGUACCGAUGUGUGUGAUGUGUGUCUGCAUUUUGACAGCAGAUAUGUGACCAUGGAAUUCGAAAUCCACCAAGAAGUGUGUAACAUCGUACAAGCCGAAUGAACCAGCUUUGAAAAUGGAUGAAGCUGCAACGGGUUACCAAUACCAGGCCAUUAUUGCAAGUUUUGAGCACUCGACGUUUUCCGAUGAGUAGGAAGGCGUGGGAAUCGCAGCGCAGCGAAGCAUUUGGUGUGAGUCUGUGUGGGACGGUCUCUAGUGCAGUU
rnacentral:ncRNA from 1 species